GCACAACGCGAAGAACCUUACCCACCUUUGACAUGUACGGAAUCCUUUAGAGAUAGAGGAGUGCUCGAAAGAGAGCCGUAACACAGGUGCUGCAUGGCUGUCGUCAGCUCGUGUCGUGAGAUGUUGGGUUAAGUCCCGUAACGAGCGCAACCCUUGUCCUUAGUUACCAGCACGUCAUGGUGGGCACUCUAAUGGGACUGCCGGUGACAAACCGGAGGAAGGUGGGGAUGACGUCAAGUCCUCAUGGCCCUUAUAGGGUGGGGCUACACACGUCAUACAAUGGCUGGUACAGAGGGUUGCCAACCCGCGAGGGGGGAGCCAAUCCCAUAAAGCCAGUCGUAGUCCGGAUCGCAGUCUGCAACUCGACUGCGUGAAGUCGGAAUCGCUAGUAAUCGCGGAUCAGAAUGUCGCGGUGAAUACGUUCCCGGGUCUUGUACACACCG
rnacentral:rRNA from 1 species